GGACCCGCACAAGCGGUGGAGUAUGUGGUUUAAUUCGAUGCAACGCGAAAAACCUUACCAAGGUUUGAAAUCAUUUCAAAACUCUUUGAAAGAAGAGCCUCCUUCGGGAUGGAAUGACAGGUGGUGCAUGGCUGUCGUCAGCUCGUGUUGUGAAAUGUCAAGUUAAGUCUUGUAACGAGCGCAACCCAUGUCUUUUGUUGCUGUUUACAGUGCUUAAAAGAGACUGCCGCUCUACAGCGGAGGAAGGUGUGGAUGAUGUCAAGUCAGCAUGCCCCUUAUAUCUUGGGCUACACACGUACUACAAUGGUAGGGACAAUGAGUCGCAAACCUGCGAAGGCUAGCCAAUCUCAAAAACCCUAUCUCAGUUCGGAUUGUACUCUGCAACUCGAGUGCAUG
rnacentral:rRNA from 1 species